UAGAUAAUUGAAUCACGGAGGUGGUUUUCCUCAUACUCUUCUCGUGGUGGUUGAAUACAUCUCAUGAGAUCCGAUGGUUUUAUAAAUGGAGUUCCCCUGGCACAGACUCUUUUGCCUGCCACCAUGUAAGAUAUCCCUUGCUUUUCCUUUGUCCUCUGCCAUGAUUGUGAGGCCUCCUGAGCCACGUGGAACUGUGAGUCCAUUAAACUUCUUUCCUUUAUAAAGGUAUCGGGUAUGCCUUUAUUAGCAGCACAAGAACAGACACACUUACCGUGCACUUAUUGCCUGUUAAUAUGGUUUAGCUCUGCCCACACCCGAAAUUUCAUUUUGAAUUGUAAUCCCCAUAAUCCCCACGUCAACCGAGAGACCAGGUGGAAGUAAUUGAGUCAUGGGCGUGGUUUCCCCCAUGCUGUUCUUGUGCCAGUGAGUGAGUUCUCACGAGAUCUUAUGGUUUUACAAGUGUUUGGUAGGUCCUCCUGUAUUCAUUCUCCCUCCUGCUGCCUUGUGAAGAAUGUGCCUUGCUUCCCCGUCGCCUUCUGCCAUGAUGCUGGAGAAAGUUCUUUGCUUUAAGGACUCACAUGAUUACAUUGGUCUCACUUGGAAAAUCCAGGAUUCUCUGUUUUCAGGUUAACCUGUCUCUAGAGACCUUGGCACUUUGCUUAACUUCGGCUGCUGUUGGAGGAGACCGACUCCUCAUGAGCAUCUGGGAAGUUCCAUUGUCUCAACUGUCACAUAAAACCUGGAACUACCCAUGUACAAAUAUUGCUCAAUGAAAGAUGGUAGAAGCAGACAGACCAGGGACCAGACAAAUGAGUGAAGAAGCCUUUGAGGAGUUGAACACUACCCCUGCCACCAUCUGACUGCUACUACAUGAAAAACUGAGCCCAAAUGAGCUCGGACAAUUCCCAGAGUCAUCAGGAAAGGAAAUGAUUAUUAUUGGUUUAAGUCACCAUUUGGGGAUGGUUUGUAUACAGCAAUAUAUAACCAGAGAAGAUUGGAAGAGUUAAUACAGUAUAGAUAUAAAUUUUUCUCAUAAUUGAUCUAUAGCUUUAAUGCAAUCCCAAUAAAAUCCCAUUAAGGUAUUUUCAGAGAAAUUGAUAAAGUGAUUCUAAAACUUCUGUGGAAAUGGGAAGCAUCAAGUCUGUCAAGCCAGAAUAAUCUUGAAAAUGAACAAAAGUUGACAAUUUGAAUUAUUAGGUAUUAAGAUUUAUUUUAAAGCUAUGGUAAUUAAGACAAUAUGGUAUUGGAACAAUGAUAAAUAUAGCAAUAAACCAGAUUAUAGAAACAGACCCAUAUAUACAAUAGACUUACAUCAAAAGUGCUAUAGCAAUGUGAACCUGAUCACAUGGCUCACAGCAUACGUUAACAUAUGAAUGGUAAAACGAUAGAGAUGCCAACAGCUAAUACAGAAAAAAAUCAUCAUGACUUUAGUGGGUAGGCAAGGACUUCUUAAAUCACAUAUAAAACAGUGAAAGAAACAUAAAACAGUGAAGAAAAUGGAUACAUUGCAUUUCAUCAAAAUUAUCAACUUUUGUUCAUCAAAAGAUACUUCUAAGGGCAUAAAAAUGAGUUACAGAGUUGAGACAUAUGCAUACAUCUGACAAAAAACAUUUCCUUUAUGUAUAUAAAUUCUACAAAUCAGCAAAAAAUUAAUUUUAAAAUGGGCAUAAAAUCUGAAUAGAUACCUCACAAAAAUCAUAUAUAAAAUAUAUAUGCAAAAGGUGCUGAGCAUCAUUACUCACCAAGAAAAUGCAAAUCAAAAAUAUUGGGAGAUACUAUUGUAAGCCCACCAGAAUGUUGGGGGAAAGAUAUUCUCAGUGUUAGCAAUCAUGUGAAGUAUUUGGAAAUUUCAUAGAUGGCUUUAAGCACUUGUGAAGACAUUUCUGGCAGCAUCUGUUAAAUCUAAACUUACGUGUACUCUAUGACCUGACAAUUUUACUCCUAAAGGCAUCUGUGGAAAUGAAUACAUAUUUUCACCAACAUUCAAGAACACACAUGUCAGCAUAACUCAAAAUGGCCCAAUGCUAGAAAUAACCAUCCAUCAAAAUUCAAAUUGAUAAACAUGGUUUAAUUCGUACAUGGGAUACAAGAUCAUGUUGAAAAAUAAUGAAUUUCUGGAUCUGCAACAGCAAAGAUAAAUAUUACCAAUAAUUUUUGACAAUAAAAUGCAGACAAAAUUUCUUAUCUUAGUUGUAGGCAGUGGUAAUGACUAGGGGGAUGAGGUUCUGGUAAUGUUAUUUACAGCUGACCCUUGAACAACACGGGAAUUAAGGUGUCAACCUCUGCACAGUCAAAAAUCUUAGUGUACCUUUUUACUCCCCUCAAACUUACCUACAAAUAACUUGCUGUCAACCAGAAGCCUUAUCCAUAACAUAAACAGCCGAUUGACACAUAUUUUAUAUGUUGUGUGUAUUAUAUACUGUAUUCUUACAAUAAAGUAAGCUAGAGAAAAGAUGUUAUUGAGAAUAUCAUAAGCAAGAGAGAAUGUAUUUAUUAAGUGGAAGUGGAUCAUCACAAAGAUCUUCAUCCUCAUUGUCAUCACUUUGAAUAGGCUGAGGGGGAGGAGGAAGACAAAGGGUUGGUCUUGCUGUCUCAGGGGUGGCAGAAGCAGAAGAAAAUCUACAUAUAAGUGGACCAACGCAGUUUAAACCUGUGUUGUUCAAGGGUCAACUGUAUUUUGAUCUGGGUGUGUUUACAUAGGCGUGAUUGCUUUGCAAAAAUUUGUUCAGCUGUACAUUUUAAGAUUUGUGCAUUUUAGAGUAUAUAUGUUAUGCUUCAACAAAAAGUAAAACCUGGAUAAUACAGUUCUGAGACUUGCCGGAGAAGUAAUUUUGAAAAUAAAUUUUACAUUUUUAAAGCAGGAUAGGGAAAAAAAUUCCAUAUAUUGUUCUUACAGAGAAAGAUCUUUUCGUAUACUUUGCUUUUGCUACUGAAAAGACAAUUUAGAGAAAUCAAAGUGAUUUAUAAUUUAGUAAAUCAUUAAUCACAUAAAUAAGUCUAUUUUAGUUUCAUAGUGGCAAAAUAAAUCAAAUCCUGUAUUUGAGAAAGUCAGAGACAUCUCAAGGGGAGCAAUAACUCCUAUAUGAUGUCUUCACUAAUUAAUGGAUUUCCCAAGAUAACUUAUUUAUAUCCAAGGGAAAAAUGAUUCACCCUGGGUUAUUUUUAAGUCUCACUAGUAUAAUAGAAUUAUAAUUAAAGGCUCAUUUUUUCAAUCCUUAUUAAAAUAUUUUAUAAGAGUAAAUCUGUAUAAAACAGUAGCCAAGCAUCAUUAGUAUUAUGAUUGUAAUUAUUUUUAAAUGUUAAGGAAUUCUACCCGGAAAGAAUUUACCAAGAUUUCUUAAAUUUAAAUUACAAAAACAGAAAUUAAUUUCCUAAAGUCAGAAUCCAAUAGAAAAUUAUGAACUAUCAAUUAACAACAAAAAAAUCUUUCAGGUUCCUCAUUCUGUAUAGCUAUCCCAGAGUUCUAACUGUGAAAUGCUGCCUUAAAAGAACUGUAUUUUCCAAAUUAGAAUAAUUUUUGAUGUUUGUUUUAACAGAAGCUUCUACUAGCCCAGAGAAAUGUUCAAAAUCAAAUUCCUUUGAAAAGCAAUGACUUAAAAUAGAAAAGUAAAAAGCCAAUCUGAAAAGGUUGCAUACUGUAUGAUUCCAAACAUAUGACAUUCUGAAAAAGGCAAAGCUAUGAAGACAGUGAAGAGAAUAGUGGUUGCUAGAGGUUGUGGGGAGGGUGAGAUGAAGAGGCACAGCAUGGAGGAUUUUUAGGGCAGUGAAAGCAAAUGCUCUGUAUUCACUAUAAUGGUGAAUACAUCUCAUUAUACAUUUGUCUAAACCUAUAGAAUGUUCAACACCAAUAAUGAACCCUAGUGUAAACUAUGGACUGUAGGUGAUAAUGAUGUGUCAACGUAGGUUCAUACAUUGUAACAUAGGUACCACUCUGGUGUGGGAUGUUGAUAAUGGGGGAGGCUGUGCAUGUGUGGGGCCAAGGAAUAUAAAGGAAAUCUCUGUAUUCACCUCUGUUUUCCUGUGAAUCUAUAGCUGCUUCAAGAAAACAAAUAAGUAAGU
rnacentral:lncRNA from 1 species